ACACCCCAGUCCCACAUCGAGUCGUGUGGAGACUUUAGUUCAGUUUAUAAGCAUAAGUACUACUACCAAUUGCACCAACAAAUCAUGAUCUUUUGGGGGCCUGUGGUGGGCUUGUGGAUUACCUAAGUUGUUGCAAUUGGGCCAGUUUAUUUCGGCUUAUUUUCGGAUUCGGAAAUCGGGACUUGACCCGAUUUUCGGAAAAGACUCGGGAUUUGACCCGGGUUGUUUCAUAUGGUAUUCAGAGCAGGCUCUCGAAAACUUGAUUCGUCAAGUUGCCGGAGGCGGGGACACGAAGCCAGCCGGUAUUAUCCCACAAUGGCUAGAGAGGUUCGAUCUGGGCCUAUGGGCUAUCCGUUUCGGCCUGACGAGGACGUCAGGAAUUUAAGUGGGGGAGUUUGUAACACCCCAGUCCCACAUCGAGUCGUGUGGAGACUUUAGUUCAGUUUAUAAGCAUAAGUA